rnacentral:rRNA from 1 species
GGUUGACCUACGAUCAGGUAAG